GAUGCAGCCAUGCCGCGUGUAUGAAGAAGGCCUUCGGGUUGUAAAGUACUUUCAGCGGGGAGGAAGGCGAUAAGGUUAAUAACCUUGUCGAUUGACGUUACCCGCAGAAGAAGCACCGGCUAACUCCGUGCCAGCAGCCGCGGUAAUACGGAGGGUGCAAGCGUUAAUCGGAAUUACUGGGCGUAAAGCGCACGCAGGCGGUCUGUCAAGUCGGAUGUGAAAUCCCCGGGCUCAACCUGGGGACUGCAUUCGAAACUGGCAGGCUAGAGUCUUGUAGAGGGGGGUAGAAUUCCAGGUGUAGCGGUGAAAUGCGUAGAGAUCUGGAGGAAUACCGGUGGCGAAGGCGGCCCCCUGGACAAAGACUGACGCUCAGGUGCGAAAGCGUGGGGAGCAAACA
rnacentral:rRNA from 2 species